UGCAAUAAGCGGAGGAAAAGAAACCAACAGGGAUGUGCCUCAGUAACGGCGAGUGAAGCGGCAACAGCUCAAAUUUGAAAUCUGGCCUUACGGUCCGAGUUGUAAUUUGUAGAGGAUGUUAAUAAGAGCCCACACGAAAUAGUAGAGCGAUUAAAAUAAAAAAUCAAAAAAAACAAGAAAAAUGGUUCCGAAAGAAAGGGGGUGAAGAAGUUUCCCGGUUCUUGGGCCCCGCGGGUAGGACCUAUGUAAAACUAUCACUAUACGACGAGUCGACUUGGUUUGGGGAAUUGCAGGGUCAAACAUGGGGUGGNAAAUUUUCAUCUAAAGCUAAAUAUUGGCCAGAGACCGAUACGCGCACAAGAUACAGUGAUCGAAAGAUGAAAAGCACUUUGAAAAGAGAGUUAAACAGUAUGUGAAAUUGUUGAAAGGGAAGCGAUGGCAACCAGACCCUUAGCUCAGGUGUUCCCCCUGGCUUCUGCCUGGGUUAUUUCACCGUGACCGGGCCAUCAUCAGCUUUGAGGGCUGGUUAAAGACCCAGGGAAUGUAUCCUCUCCUUCGGGGGAGGACUUAUAGCCCCCGGGUGUCAUGCAGCCUCUCGGGACUGAGGAACGCCCUUCGGCGAAGAUUAU
rnacentral:rRNA from 1 species